rnacentral:lncRNA from 1 species
GGCACCAACCGCGGCAGCAGAGGCGGCGUACUGCUGCGGUGGCUGCUGCUGCUGAGGCGGAGGCUGCUGAUAAUAAUAAGCAGGCAGCUGCUGCUGCUGUGGCGGCGGGACCUGAUACUGCGGCUGCGGAGGUUGCUGCUGCGGGGCCAUCCACUGCUGCGGAGGUGGUGGUUGUUGUUGGUAUUGUUGCUGCUGCUGUGGUGGCGGAACCAUAGUGGCGGCCGGUUGCAUCAUGGUUAAUUUCUAGGAAAGGAAGGAAAAAGCCCUAGAUUUGAGAUGGAUUUGGUAAAAAGAGAGAGGAGAAGUGAUUAGGGCCAAAAAGGGGAGGAAACCCUAGCGGUAGCGGGGGAAUAUAAUGUACCUGGGAAGGGUAGGGGGGAGGACUUGUGGUGUAAAAUAAAUAAGCCAGGAGGAUGAGAGGGGAAAGAUAUUUAGGACGCGUGGAUUUGGGUCCAUCCGAUGAAUGGCCAGAUGAUUUCUACUCGGAUUAGGAGACUGAAUGCCCAUAGCCAUACUCCGCCCUGUUUUGGGUCGGUAUCUCUACGGUAAGAAUUUUUUUGAGGUUUUGUUAAAAAAAUAUAUUAUAGUAAUUUGAUGUAUGUUAAAAAAAAAAUUAUAAAAUAUGUUCACAGAAAAUAUAAAAUUUUUUACUUGAAAAAUUGCAACCCAUAAGAUUUAUUUGCACGGACAAAGAUAGAGAAAAAUAAAAUCAUUUUUUUAAAUUUGUUUUCCCUCUUAUCCUUCAAGUUAAUGGCAGACAAUCUUAUUACUAGAGGUAUAUGUCCGUUUGGAUACCAUAAUUCGAAAAAAAUUCAAAUAUUAAUCUGCUUGCAUUAUAAAAAUAAUUUUGAACUAUUUUUUCAUUUCAUAUACAUUAUGUCACAAAAUAAUUCAAAUAAUCUCUUAUCCAAGGUUUUCGAAUGGUAGCGUGUUUGAAUUGGAGAUUAUUUGGAAAAAUCUUUUGGAUUAAUAGCUUAACACUUUGAAUGAUGUCACACGUGUAUAGCAAUUUGCAUAAUAUGAUAUGUGUCAAAUAAAAAUAGUUAGAAUGAUUUGAAAAAAAAUAAUUGAAACACAUUUUCAUGAUACAAAAAAAAAAUUUGGCAAAAGUUAUAAGACUAGCUAUCGAGGCACACUCAAUGCAAGUGCAACUUGUCAAAAAAAUAUUUUGUGUAACAUGCAAUAAAAAAAGUGUAUUAUACAAAAAUAUGUACAAUUGGAAGUGAAAAAACCAUUGGUAAGGGAGAAACGAGAAAAUUGGAAAGGAUAGUUUUUGUUGAAUAGGAUUCAUGUGUCAAUUUUUUUUUUUUUUUUUUUUAUCAAAGGACAAAUUCCUUAUAUAGAUUCAUGUGUCAGCUGACAAUAGAAAUAAGAGUUAAUGGAUUAUAUAGAUAAAAAUAAAUUUGAAAAUAUACAAAGUUAACACCAAGUUAAUUACUUACAUAGGCUUUAUUAUUGUAAUAUCUAUAAAAUGCCGUUUACAGUUGUUCUUUCUGUGCAACAAGCUAUCCGGAUUGAGUAACUGCUUAUUCCUUGGCCACCUGAUUUGUAGAGAUUGGAUUCGUGUUACCCAAAACUCCCAUUCAGAGAAAAAUAGAAAACCCCGGCGUAUAAAAACUGGACUGAAAAAAAUGUAGACUACCCAAAAACUGGGCCAAAAGAGAACCAAAAACUGCAAGAGACCCAAAACUAGAGCCCAUUUGAGAUUUUCAAAUUUGACCCAAAAUGUUGAAACUCCAGACUCCAUGUUGACUACCUAGAUGUUCUUUGAAUCACUUCAGACUUUCACUCUUCAGCUUUGAAUAGUUCGGUUCAGGCAGCAAAAUGGAAAUGCAGAGCAGAGGCAUGGAGCUGGUACGAACACGAACUCAAGGUCUUUAUCAACAACUAUUUAUUCAGCAGUACAUACUAUUUACAAAUUGAAUUGCGCAUACACGAGAUUAGCUUUUGAUCCAUGCUUUUAUCAGUGGCUUAAUUCAAGAAAUCGUGUGAUCCCUCAUUCAGAAAUGCUUCAAUAGCUUUCAUUAUAGUUGAAGUGAGUAAAGAUCACUUCUUUCUUGUAUGUAAUUUGUGGGUUGGCUGUUUCGAGGCAAAAUAUCAUUGAAAGGGGUAGUCUUGAACCAGUUGGAAAUUCUGAUAGAACUGAUAUGCCCGAGUUAAAUUGCUAGACUUGGAGGUCUAAAUUGUUUGUGGGUUUUCAAGAAGUUUGGUCGAUCGGUUCUGCGGGUGUGGGGAAGUUACUAUGGAUGUGCAUUUGAAGAAUUUGUUUACUAGAUAUCAAGAACAAUUUGGGUGUGGCCCAGGACUUGGUCCUGGAUCAGGAACAUGUUUGUUGAAGGUGGAUGGCAUUACUCCACCUUUUAUUAAGUCUCUGUACAGAACCGCCGCUGCUUUGUACAGGACUGAUCCAUGGAAGUGGUUGCGCCCAGAGCAUUUGUUUGGUAUAAAGGUGGGGAAGGAUUCAGACUGGUCUAGCAGAAAACAGCCAUUUCCUUGUGUUCAGUUUAUUGGUGGGAAUGGUGGGGAUAUAGGGAUUUACAUGUUCAGGGCUCAUGAUGAUGCAAAAAAAAUGACUGCUUCUAGGGAGACUAUUCGAGUUCCAAACACUGAGCUUUUGAGGGUGACUUAUGAGCUGGAGUCAAUCAUGUUCCCUUCAAAUAAGAGAAUGAUAAAGUCAUUAGCUUUGGAGGUCUCGGGGACUGAUCGAUUUCCGGUUAUUGACGUUGUUCGCUGCACGUCAUCUGUUGAACUUCAGUUCAGAAAUCCUACUCUUGAAGAGCUUAAGUUUGCGUAUGCUGUUUUAAGAGCCAUUCCUUUAGUGCAUCCUCUCCUUAGGCAAGAUUAUGAUGCAGCACCAAAGUGGUCUCGAAUGAUGUACUUUGAAUCAUUUAUUGAAACAGUUGAUGUCCAAUGGCCCCUGGAAAUGGCAAGAGGGAAUGAUCUUGUUGCUGUUACAGUUUCACACCCUCCUGGCCACAGGUAUGAGGAACAGAAUAGCUCAACGGCCAGCUCAACUCCUACCAAGCUCUCAGAACCAUCUAAGGAGGAGACUUUAGUUGAUAUGGACUCAGUGGGCAGCUUCAGACUGUGCAUGAUGUGUGAGAAAGAGAUUAGUGGUGAGCAAUCAAUUUGUUGUGGCCGCUGUGGUGCAAUAGUGUAUUGUAGUUCUCUCUGCCAGCAUCAAGACUGGAAUGUUGCACAUAAGGAUACAUGCGCUCUGUGCAAGGCCAUGAUGGAAAGAGAAGAAGAGCUGGCCAUGACAAUUUUUAUGUUCAAUUGUUCAGCGGAACAACCAUGUAAAUGGCUUGAAUCGUUGGGUGUACACCAGAAAGGCAUGUGGAAAAGAAAGUGUAAUUGCUUUUCCCGCUGGUUCUAUGGCUUACUUCCUAUUGAAGGUGACCUUCGUGAUUCAUGGGGUGACCUGGACGACGAUCAAUAUCCUCAUGAUUCACCCAUUGAUGAUUAUACAAGGGACGGUUUGUCAAGCGUAAUCCUCCUUUCUGGUUGGUCUGAGUAUUACAACCUUCGGUCUUUGCCCUUGUCAAGCCCUGUUGCUGACAUUCUCUCUCAUCCAUUGACAGUAUACUACGCAUUAACUGCUCUUAGUGUCAGUUCCAAAAACCUUUUACUGAAAGGCAAAGAGGUGAUUGUUCACUACCUUGGACCUAAAGGGGAGUUGGAUUGGAUGCCAGCGUUUGCGGAGAUCGGUCAUCUGCUCAAUGGUCUGGGCAGUAUACAGAUGUUUAUGAUUGGCCCUGAAGUACCAACAAAUUUAUCUGGGACAACAUCUGGAGUAAGCAGCAGAGUCAGGAUCAAUUUUGUAAGAGGUAUUUAUCAAGAGGAAGUUGCUUACCUUCCUAGUCCGCAAGUUAUCUUGGCUUUAAAUUGUGAGUUGGAGACCAAUGCAAGUUGGGUUGGAGCACUUGACUUGAUAAAUUUGAGGGAACAUCCAGCCUUCUUCUCUUGUCAGUCUGAGAUUUCAAGCUCAAGUGCCAAACAAGUUCUUCGUAGUGCAGGCUUGCAUAUUAGCUAUCCUAUGACACCAAAUCCUUUCAGGUCUCCAGUUAGGAAUUAUGGGCCUUCUAGCAAUUUUCCAUCCUAUAGCAAUGGUUUUCUGCUAGGAGUAAAUACCUGAUCCACAAUUUAUCAGAGAGUACUAACCUGGAAUUAUGGUUUUGCUGUCAUGCCGCAACUUAAUAAAUUCUUGUGGAAGAGAAACACUGAUGAGUAAUCUAAUCACGUUUAGGACAUGUACUGAUUUGUUGUUAUAAUUUUUCUAUUUUUGGCUGUUUUUGCUUGGCCGCAGCUGCUGUAUUUAAUCAACGUUGCAGCCAAUUAUUCAUCUCAGCAAGAUCUUGUCCUUUGUGUAGUUAAUAUGUUGUUGAAGCUCGAAACACCAGUAGUUCUUGGAGCUGAUUGCUUCUAAUAAUGUCCUUAUCGUGGUCAUGCCGAAAGCGCUUUUAGAUUUCACUUUUACUCAUCAUCAUCAUCACUCAGCUUUCACUGGCUAAAAUUUUCAAGAUAUGUACUGUACCUUUAAAUGAUUCAAUACCCUGCAAACAGGCAGACACAAAGAACAGAUAUUCUUUCUUUACAAACAAACAUUAAAAACCAAAAAGAAAUUUUUUUUUUUCACAAACAUCAAAACUCAUCAAAAUAUAUAAUUCCCAGUAAUUUUGGAAAUUCUGGUGCAGCCAAUUUCACCAAGCUACAAUAGUAGUAUGCUUAGCAGUUAGCAGCACAUCAUUUAGAUGCUUGGCAACUUGUAGUCGUCUUUUUUGACCAAUCCAGUCUUGCACAUCUGAGAACUCCUUUUCGGCACCGCAACCACUUGCUCAAGUAGCCAUUACAGAAUGCAAGCACCAAUGCAGCAGAGCACCAUAAACUGUAUCGGAGCAUCAUCUGAUAUUUCUUGGCUAAAGAUUUUUUGGUCCCACGAACGUAAACCACUUGCCUAUCUUUUUCAAUGGAUCUUAUAGAGGGGGAUGGAGACGCCCCUUAGAAACCUUUAUCAGUUGUCUAGUCAUAGCUAGUGCAGAAUCCCGCAAUCGGUUAGUACACCUCACAUGGGCUUUCCAAUUUCCCAAGAUACAUGUUUUUCAGGAGCCAAUCAUUUUCUACUUCCACCUUUAAAGUUUGAAGCUCGCCACCCCUUUUGCCUAUAAAUGGCUAAGGCAAACCUCAUUUCCAACCCCUGAAUCAACCAACAGCAUCCGAAGUCAUCAGAGAUACCAACUUUUCUAAUUUUCUCUCAUCCCUUUUCAAAGAAAACGAUUAUGGAGUACUCAACAUUUGAUCCUUCAACCUGGAAUUCUAACUUAACAGAGUCUCUUCUCUAUCCCUAUCACUUUAUCCCUGAAAAUUAUGUCCACUGGACUGAAACUCCAGAGUCUCACAUUUACUCAGCUGAUCUUCCAGGUAACGAUCUAGAGAUACUUUACUACUACUAAAAUAUCUCAGACUCUUUGGCCUAGAACCUUUGUUCUAGUUUUCUUUAGUUAUUGCAUAAAAAGUUUUUCUUUUUUUUUUGUUUGGUCGAAACUGAUUUUCAUUUUCUUGAAUGGAUGAUGAUAUAUGAGAUACAGGGGUUAAGAAAGAGCAGAUAAGAGUGGAAGUUGAAGACUCCAGAUACCUGAUUAUAAGAACUGAGGCUGCUACCGGUGAAUCAACUGAGCCAGCCAAGAAUUUCAUAAGGAAAUUCCGGCUGCCAGAAAGGGUUGACAUCAGCGGAAUAUCAGCUGGCUAUGAGAAUGGAGUCUUGACAGUUGAAGUACCAAAAUCUUUUGUGAGGAGGGGAUUCUUUAUUGAACCAUCUGAUAUGCCUGAAAGAAUGCAUGUUCUUGCAAGGGCAGCUUAAAUUUGGAUGCAUGAUUAGCUUCCCAGUUAUUAGGUUGAGGGAUGCUUAGAUUGAUUUGAAGAUUGUGGUCCAUGAAUUUUUAUGCAGACCAAUUUUAUGAAAUCUAUUAGAGCAUAAAUGGGGUCUUAUGUUUUAGCACAGAGUCCAUAUUAUUUGGUUCAUGAAACCUGGAAAAGGUUCUGUAAUGUUUAUAUUGGUUACUCAAGCACAUACUCGGGUGCUUUGCUAUGCUUAUUUCAAUAAAGAUUCAUCUUUUCCACCAUUUGCAAUCUCAAUCUUGUGCAGAUUUUGGACAACUUAAAAGGCCAAAAAAAAAAAAAAAAAAAGAUGAAAAACAACUCUAAGGUCUCAAACUUGGAAGAUUUCAUGACUUGGAUUGCAGUUUUAUACUUUUAUUGACGUGUAGCAAGUAUAACAAUGCAGCUGUUACAAGCAAAGUUGCUCAUCCAAAUUUUCAGAGACUACUUUAAUGUUGUGUUAUUUUUUUCUUGGAACCAGUCAGACAGACGUGGGAACUUGGCGUCCCUUUUAUUUUCUUGUCAGGGAGUGUUUGAUUGGUGGAUUGGAAGUGGGAAAGAUUUGAUCAAGUGCCAGGUUGCAUCACCAAACAAACCCUUAGUCAGACAGGUUGAUAUUUUUGGGACCUAGGAAUCUGAAUCUGAAAAGUUAAAUUUUGCGGCCGGCAACGUAAUUGGACCAGACUACCACGCUAACCAAUGCUGGGUGAUGGGUCUACUUUAGUAGUAACUGCGUAACUUGUCAUGUAGUUUGGUACAGACGCAGACUCCGUACAAAAGUAUCUGCUACAUUCACAUCAGUUGGUUCAAGGUAAGAAUCAAGUAUUGUAUUGUAAGAUAAGCUUCAUCUUUUUGCCAAUUUCUACUACUAAUAUGCUACUUACCUCUGUUACAAUCACAUCUUUAGUAAUAGCAAACGCUUUAAAAUGUUGAAUACACCAUAUUGUCCUCGACCAAAGAUGGUCAAGAACAAGAAGCUUGGAAUUCAUAGCAGAAGGGUAUUUUUUUUGGGUCCCCGGGGGGGUGGGGGGGUGAGGGAGGGGGUUGUUGGGGUGAGGUAAAAUCACACACACAUAUGCAUUACAUACAUGGCAGUUCCCAUGGCAUACCAUAAUGAAUCAACUGUCACCAAACCAUUUCACAAGAGCAGGACAUAAGUAUGUACACAUGUAUGACAAAAACAUGCUCUGCCAAACGAUCAUUGACAAAAGGUCUUUCCAUUUCUGAUCAAUGCAAUGAGCUCAACGGCUUCUCUUAAUCUUCUAUCAAUCUGUUCUCUGGAUACCAAGUCCCGGUUGCUCCUGUAUGUAUGCAAAGAUCAUUAACAAUGCUAUUGUAUAACAAAGAAAGAGCAUUAUUUCUCCAGCAACUUACCUCUUCUCGUUUCCAGCCUUCUUUGCAAGGUCUUCCACAAGGCUGUGUAAUCGUUUCAAAAGAGCUGGUUGCUUGUCCACAGCCUCUACUCCUUUUCUGGUUACACAUAUCUUCUUAAGUAGGUCAGACGCAAUAAAGUACCCCUCCUCUUUGUUACUGAAAAAGACAUUGUAAAAAGAGAAAGUUAAAAAUAUGAUGAAUAUAUACAUAGCCAGAACCACGAACAAAUUUGCUCACAAUAGUACAAACCGUAUAAACUCCCAUAAAAUUGUCUUGACACAUCCAUCAUUCUCGAUAAGCACUUCUGUCAAGUGAGGGUAGCGAGCCAGGUUUCUAAGAGUAGACAGUGCAUGCUUCAGAACUUCUUGAUCUGGUAUGCUCCUGCUGACAGAGCCAAUUAGCUUCAGCAAAGUACCGAUAGCUCCUGCAGCAACAAGUUCUUCACAACAUCUCUGUGAAUGUUCUGUAGCCAUAUCUGCAAAAUACAAAAUUGAUCUCAAUUCUAAAAGAUUCAAUCUUCAUUUCACAUCGCUACCUAUUGUCAAACAAAUGCGAACCAGCAAAGCCUUAAAAACCAAUAAGACACACUUCGAUAAAAAUAAAUUCACCAUAGCAGAUAUGAUUUCUGACCAUAAAUGAUUCAAUGAGUCACUAAAAGCAACAACUCAGGAGAAUGCUUAUCAUCAUUAACAAAGUAGAUUCUAAGAGUUAGUGAGUAAAAAGCCAAAUCUACAAAUUAGUGAGUAAAAAGCCAAAUAUGCUUUGAUGUUGAAUGUUUACCAAGCGUUGCACAUGUAUGGAGAAUGCCGCUAAUACUUCUCUUACUCAGGAGCUCAGAAAGAGCUGCAACAAGUCUGUUUAUUAGGCGCAUGCUAUCAUCUAUAUUGGCAGCAGAUUUCUGCACUCUCAAACGUAAAUCUAGUAGCUGCCCUCUGGAAGCUUUUCUUGCAAGGUAACCUUUCCAGUAUGACUGUUAAAACAGAAACAAUCAAGAAAAUGUUAGGAUGCUGUUAAUAAAUCUUAUUUUGAAAACCUUAGUUAAUAUGAUUAAGUAGUUUGUAGCGUGCCAACAAUCUCAAAUUCCAAAGCCAAAGGGAAGCUUUGAUAGAAAUGCCAAUGUGUGACAAGGGAAGAAACGCAUUGCAUGAGCAUUCAAAACAUAGGGAAUGUGUUUGGGGGAUAAUCAACUUAUAUUCUUCUUUUGAUCCCAAUACACAAUUGACAAGAAACAUCAUCUAAAAUGGGGUAAUUAAAUGUUUGCAUACAGCAUAUCCUUAGUGGAAGAUGCACACAAACUUCUAAUAAUUUUAGUAGUUAGGGGAGUCAACUAAUUUUAUUGCUCUUAUGAAGCUGGCCAUUUAAUCCAGAUUCUGGUGGAGGAAAUAAAAGCAUCCUGCAUCUUUGUUCACUUUUUGUGCUUCUAUUACAAUAGCCUACAACGUCAACUGUCAUUUCAGCUAAUAUUUUCACAAAUCUUAUGCGGUAAAAUAUCUGGUCCCUAGAACUGCUCAGAAUGGAUCUUCUGUUUGGAUGUUAAAAGCUGCAGAUGGUGAAAUAUUUGAAGAUAUCAUACAGUCCAAAAAGGCUUAGUCCGAUGUUUAAAAUGAAAUUUUAAACAAAGCUACUCAAAAAGAGUAAGUGAUGCAGCUAAGGGAAAUGAGUGACAUUGAACUUCAUUUGGGUGGGCAAUGAAUCAAUAGCAACACUGCACAUAUGAUGUAGAUGGUUUUGCCAAGUAAAGCAAAGUAAGGGAAAACAUGCUUGCUCUAUAUGUAAUGAACAAUCAGUAGGAAAACUCUAAUGAAUAAUUUUGCAAUCCAAUGUCGAUUACAGGUGAUCUUAAAGGAGCAUGCCAAUGCACACGAUGAAUAUGACUCACUUGGAUGACAACAAUUCGUUGCCUGUCUCUUGCGAGUCUUUGACGGGCAAUCCACGCCCGAUAAUAGGACUGGAUAAUAAUUGCAGACUCAGUUCUCAGCUUCUUGAAUAAAACAUCCUUCCACCACCUCUGUAACUUCAGAACUGAUAGUGUAAUUAUUUUCAGUUCAAAGUUUCUGAUGCCAUUGUUUGAGACCUUCCGGCAAAAAGAAGCACCUAUACCACAAUGCUGAUCUAACUGCAGUUCUUAAAGGAACUUUGAAUUUGAAAGAGAUUUUUCAAUCAUAUCAAAAGAGAAAUACCAAGAAUCCUUUUCCUUGUCACGUGUCCCCUGACAAACCGUUGGAUAUCUACAGCAGCAACUCUGGUACAGAAGUAUGCCUUCUGUUGUUUCGUACACCGAAAGGCAUUUUGAAUCUUUAUAGCAGCCUCUUUCUCGAAUAACAGCUCCUUCCUCGUUAACCACCCACGGAAAUGGCUCUGAAGUCAUAUAAAUCAUUGCUUUAUAAAAGGUGAAGAGUUGAUCGAUGGUCAGAAUUUUGACCUUUACCCAAGAUGCAUCAAUUAUUCUGUAAGGCCUAGAUCAUUGCUCUAGAUAUUUCUCAAAACAUCUCCCAUUGACUUUUCAUUGAGAAAUAAAAUAUAAUUUGUAUAUGUAAGAGUACUUAAGUACUUGCUACACAUUCUAGAAAAUUCAGGCGAAAUUUCUCCCAUAAUGAUGAUAAAUACUCAAAUGCCUAAAAUCACAAUAAUCAUGUAUUCUUACAAGUUAUUCAGGCGCAAUUUAGACAGUUUUAUUAUGUUCUUGCACUUAAAAUAUCCUUUCUAGACCAGCAAAGAAGAAAUUUUCAUGAAAAAGUGAUUGUUUUCUGUAAGCAACGAUUCAGGUUUCUCAGUUUGAUUGAAAAAAUGGUAAAAAGAAAGUAAAUAAGAUGUUGAAUUCUCUACAGCUGCCUUUUUUUUUUUUUGUAGCUAUCAUUAAUUUACCCAAACAAUAGUUGCCAAUAACCAACAACUUCUGAAACUAGUUUCAAACAGUUUUGUAGCAAAUCAAACCAGUAAUUAGUACAAAGGGAUGACAACAUAUAGUUAAUUGUAGUGUAUUGGUUAGGUAACUAAAGUGUAAACAAAGAGGAGAUCACUAUACAUCAACAAACUCCAGAAACAUAAGAAGGAUAACUUACUUGGAUUAUCAAGGCAUGAGAUCUCAGCAUAUAUGCUCUUCUUCGUGCAAUCCAUCCUUGAACAUGAGACUGGAUAGUUGUUGCUGCCCUACACUUCUUUCUGUAGUGCUGGAGUUCCCUCGAACAUCUCAAGCAUUGGAAAAUGCUUUGAACUUUUAGUACGGCGCUUUUUUGCUCUAAAAAAUGUUUUCUCAUCAUCAACCUACGAAAGCAGCUUUGGAUUUUAAUUGCAGCCAAGUGCUGCUUUCUGAGAGAAUUGCCAACAAUGAAAUUUCUCCAAGCUUUUUGGAUAGUAAAUGCAGCAUGUGUAUGAAGAUUGCACAAUUCCUUUUCUUGGAAAUGGGUGAGAGCUUCGUCUUGAAUACUACUACGCUUGCAGAAAUACACAGAUCUAGCUUUCCAUCCACGAAAACAUUUCUGGAUAACAAUGGCCACAUUUGACAAAUUGUGACACAGCAUAUUUUGAGCACGGCUUCUUGAAAUCCAGGCUCGUAUAGCAUGCUGGAUGACUACAAUUGAUCUCUUCAACUGGACAAAGCUAUGCCGGUCAACCAUAAAGGUCAUGUACAUAUCACAAUUGUUAGAACUCAUCCUCGUAGCUGUAUAACAUGGUUAAACAUAUCAAUGAAAACUAUAACCAACAAAAAGAAACACACAAUAUAAGAAAAAUGAAAUUGCUCAAGAAGAGUGCAUACAAAGGAAUGAUUUAUGACGGUUUAGUUCACCAAAUUGCUUGAUUGGCAAUCUUGAUUUUAUGCUCAGCCAAGCACGUAUAGCAGUUUGCAACAGGCAGGCUGCUUUUUUAAUUUUCAUAUAUCUGCGAAAUUGCACUGAUCGUCUGAAAUGAGACUGUAUUAUUUUUGCUGCAUUUUCUGGAACAAUCACAAAAAAAAGUAUCAACAUUACAUUCCUAAUAAACUAGUUUCCAGGACAAACUACAUUCUGCCAUGUUCAUAUUCCUCAUUUUUCAGCACAGAGGGAAAAAGAUUGACUGAAUUUAUAAAGAACAAACUCUUCUCAAACUAUUAGAUUUUGGCACCUUUAUUUACAUUUUACAGAAUCCACCCAACUUGAGUGCCAAAGUAUUAGAUUGGCGAAGUAGACUUGCACAAGUAAAGGUGGACACACCAAAGAACUAGAAAAUGAAAAAUAAAAUAAAAAGUUGGAAACUUGGGCAGUUUAGACGUUCGAGAAUUUGCAGCUCCCAAAAGAGAGGUGUGAUCAAUCUCUCUACACCCAGAUACAGGAAAAUAAAAGUCUAAACAACUCAUUAUUAGAAAAAAAAAAGUGCAUUACUUCACCAUUCAUUUUGUUUAGCAACUACUGACUUUUACAUCAUAUAGAAUACUGGAGACAGGGUGUAUUGCUCCACUGGUACAUUCGACUGUCUUCAAAGUUAUGCAGCUCAAUUUGAAAAGGGAAAUUUUUUGAUAUAAUCCUCAGACCAGACUACACACUUUAAAUCAUUUCCAGCAAGAAGAAAGGUACAGAAAAUGAAAACAAAUAAAUAAAUUCCAGGAAUAGGUACCGCAUAAAUAAAUAUUUAAAAAAAACAAAGGUUAUCAUCACCUCUUCUGAUAAUGCUAUCCCUUCUGCUAGUCAAGUACCACAGUGGACUUAUGGUAGCUGUCUUUAAAUUGCAUUUGUUGUUCCUCUGAGCCAUUUCUUGCCACCAAGCCAUUAUGGCCUUGAAAUUCCUCGAAGCAUCUGCAUAAAAGAGAUGUGAAACAUGAGAAUUUAGAAAACCAAGCCAAUGAUUGAUAAUGAUGCUAUGCACAAUAACAAGAUGAUAGUAGAUAUAGAAUAACAUUGAAAAUUAUGCCACCACUAUCCCAUAAAAAAUUCAUGUUUCUUAGUUAUACAAUUUGUCUACAUAAAGGCUAUGAGAUAAUUAGGUCGGCCAUGAAUUAAUGAAAGAAAGGUAGUACAAACGUUGCUAUUCUGACUUGAUUAAUGUAGCAUUGUAAAACAAAUGAUGAGGCAUCUGCUUUUCCAACAUGGAGACUGAUAUAAGUAAUCUGACAGAGGAAGUAACACAAAAGAGGAAGCCUAAAUGCAAAACAUAUUGCAAGAUUAGGCUAGUUUGAAUGCAUCUGCAGCAUCAUUGGCAGGAAAAAAAUUUCAUAAUGCAUUUCAAUGACACAUAGACAGGUUCAAGACUGGAAAGAGUGGCUUCUCUUGGUGUAGUCGAGUGUUGAAAGUCUACUAUAUAAUGAUCAUAUCAAGUCUGGAUAAAAUAACACUCCAAAUCACCAUUCAAUGUCAAAAUAGUAAUGGAGAACCAGUCUUAAAGAAUAAUUCAUUCAUCAUCUUGUCUUUUCUCUGUUUUAAUACUAUUAACUGCAUCUAUGCAUAAAGGCCUAUUUAGUAUCUUGAAACACAGAAAGGAGAAUGGCAAUCAAAUCUUUCAGAUCUCCAUAAGAAGCAAAUUAAUAAUCAAGUUGCAAAACAAAGUUAAUUAUUCAGGGAAAACUAGUAACACAUGUCAGAGUAAUGUAAAUUCAGUCUUGUUGAUGCCACUGCAUAUGUAUGAAGCAAAAUUAAGCCAGAGCGUAUUACCUACUUAAGUGGACUACAGGCAUACAAGAAAUAUGGGCACGUAAAAACUAUACAAGUAUAUAGACUUUAAGAGACCUUCACCAUGGCUGAACAGAUUCUCUUUUGCAUUUGAAACAGCUGGAGAAUGCAGAAACCAAUACUUUGUACUUGAGCAUUUCCUUUCUGGAGUUUGACAGUAAAAACCCAGCAACUUAUGAAAAUUUAGCUGAUCCUGGUCAAAAGACGGGAAUGACAAAUCUCAAAUCUGUGAGAAAAACAAUCUCAAAGUUUAGAUAGCAUUGAACAUCAUGUUUCAAAAGAAUAAAAAAGGUACCUUGUUUCUUUUCACAAGCAGUUGAAAUGACAGAAACACCAACAGAAUAACUACACUACGAUCGUUACAUGCACCAUUAUGUUCAAGUAUGUCGCUGACUUGCAAAACCUGAGAGAGUGAAAUUUGAAUGUCAUUGGUGCAAGCAUUCAGCAUGCUUCUUUAAUAUGACCAUUCUUUUAUGCACCAGGAGUGACUUUUCAAUUGACUGGGCCUUUCUCAUGCGCAAAAUGAUCGGUACACAAUCUUUAAGUGAUUAAGUGACAUUAAUUAGCCCACUUAUGCGGGUUGAAUAACACUGACUAUGCACAACAGAUAUGCUCCCUAUAAAUAUGUGUGUGUGUGUGUGUAUAUAUAUGUAUGUAUGUAUGUAUGUAUGUAUCUGUGUAUGCAUGCAUGCAUGCAUGUAUGUAUGUGUUGAAUAUAUCUAGAUAUGUGUGAUAUAUUAUACAUCAAUUAUAGGGAUUAGAUAGCCUGAUUAUUAGCCUGAUUAUCCUAGUUUAAUUAUAGGAAGUAGAUAGCUAAUUAUUCUAGCUUGAUUUUAGGAUCUAGAUUAUUUCAAUCUUGUAUAUAUAUGUCAGUUGUACUACUCACAUAAGAGGGUGAAGGAAUGUCAUCCCAAAAUAUCUUCCUCUCUUGCUUCUUCUCUUUCAUGGUAUCAGAGCAAGUGAGAAAGAGAAAUUCGUUUUCUAAUCAUCCCACCCGGUGAUUUUACCCGGUGAUUUUCUUUAACCCAAUAUCAUUAUGUCUACAUCCGAUACAUCUAUAACAUCUACAUCUAAAUCCACAACUCCUCUCAUGGCCAAUCCAUCUAUUACUGGUUGUACUAUUAUUACUACCGAAAAACUAAAAGGCAGUAACUACUCUACUUGGGCUGCUGACGUUGAGCUAUGGUUUAUGGGACAAGGAUAUAAAGAUCAUCUUACUACUAAACCUGAUGAUACUAUGACUGAUCCAUCCAAGUGGGAGCGAAUCGAUGCUCAAUUGUGUAGCAUGCUUUGGCAGACCAUUGAUUCUUCACUAAAGCAAAUUUUCCGUCCACAUAAGACUUGCUUUAGUGUUUGGGAGCAGGCCAAAGCAUUAUACACUAAUGAUAUAUCUCGUGUUUAUGCCGUUUGUUCUGAUUUGAUGAGUCUCAUUGCACCUCGAAAACUUGAUAUGCCUAUGAGUUCUUACUUAGGCAGAAUUCAAGGGGUCCUUUCCGAUUUCAAUGAGUUGCUACCCCCUGCUGCAACUCAGCAGGAACAACUCUCUCAGCGAGGUACAUUUUUUAUGCUUUUGGCUCUCUUUGGAUUACCUGCAGAAUAUUCUACCAUUCGUGACCAGAUUCUUGCUAGCCCCACAAUUCCUACUUUGUCUCAAGCUUUUUCACGGCUGUUACGGCUCCCGGAUGAAUCAAAAUCAUCUUCGGAGACUAUCGUUGUUGAUUCAUCAGCUUUGGCAUCUCAAUCCAGCCAAAGAGGAGGUCGUGGACGUGGCCGUGGUCGAGGUGGUUAUAAUGGUAACAAAAAUCGACCCUACUGUGACUAUUGUAAAAAGGUUGGCCACACAGAAGAUCGGUGUUGGCUCUUGCAUGGACGUCCUCCCCAACAAGUGGCGAAUAUUGUUCAAUCCGAACCUUGCGCAAGUUCAGAACCAACUCUCAAGCCUGAGUAUGAAGAUUUUGUGAAAUGGUUUACAGCCAAACAGUCUUCCACACCUACUGCCUCAGUUGUACACACUAGUAAUGUUAGCGCAUGUGUCUCUCAAUCUCCAUCUCUUGGCCCAUGGGUUUUAGAUUCUGCUGCCACAGAUCAUAUUUCUGGUAAUCCACAACUUUUCUCUUCACUCCAUAGUUCUACUUCUCUACCCAAUAUUACUCUUGCUGAUGGCUCACAAACCCAAGCUAAAGGGAUUGGCAAGGCUAACCCUCUACCUUCUGUGCCUCUCGAUUCUGUUCUUUUUAUACCCAAUUGUCCUUUUAGUUUAGUAUCUGUUCGUCGUUUGUGUCGUUCUCUUAACUGCUUAGUUACAUUUGAUGAGGAAUCUGUAAUUUUACAGGAUCGAGGUACGGGGCGGACGAUUGGCACAGGGCGUGAGUCUCAGGGACUUUACCAUCUGUCUUUACCAACACCAGUAUCUUGUUCUGCCGUAGAUGAUCCUCUGCUAAUCCAUAGUCGUUUGGGUCAUCCAAGUUUAAAUAAGUUUCGAAAGAUGGUGCCAUCUAUUACUAUGUCUUCCUUAGAGUGUGCAUCAUGUCAGCUUGGAAAACACACUCGUAGUCAUUUUCCGAAAAGGGCUAAUAGUAGAGCUGAAUCUCUAUUUUCUUUGGUCCAUACUGAUAUUUGGGGACCGAGUCGUGUUAUUUCUACUUUAGGUUUUCAGUAUUUUGUCACUUUCAUUGAUGAUUAUUCUCGUUGUACUUGGGUGUUUCUUAUGAAGAAUAGAUCUGAAGUGUUUUCUAUUUUUCAAAGUUUUGUCUCUGAAAUUCAAACACAAUUUGGUGUUUCCAUAAAAAUCUUACGUAGUGAUAAUGCACAUGAGUAUUUCUCCACCUCUUUCAAGUCCUUUAUGGAGUCUAAAGGGAUCAUUCAUCAAUCAUCAUGUUCUCACACCUCACAACAAAAUGGGAUUGCUGAAAGGAAGAAUAGACAUUUGGUUGAAACAGCACGUACUUUACUUCUUCAUGCAAAUGUUCCGUUACGUUUUUGGGGGGAUGCCAUUCUCACUGCAUGUUAUUUGAUUAAUCGCAUGCCAUCAUCUGUCCUUAAGGAUCAAGUUCCUUACUCUUUUGUAUAUCCUAAUGCUCCACUAUUUUCUAUUUCCCCUCGUACAUUUGGCUGUACAUGUUUUGUACAUGAUUUCACUCCUGGAAAAGAUAAGCUGUCUUCACGUGCUGUCAAAUGUGUAUUUUUGGGGUACUCUCGAACACAAAAAGGGUACAAAUGUUUUUCUCCUGAUCUUAGACGAUACAUCAUCUCUGCAGAUGUUACGUUCUUUGAGUCUACUCCUUUCUUUCAGCUUAACAAGUCUGAGCAUUCUACAAUCACGGAGGAUAUUCCUGUUUCUACUUAUUUUGUUCCUCUUACUCAUGACACUGACAUUAGUCAGCCUCCUAAAGAGUCCUUACCUUCACCCGCAUCACCACCAUUGCUCACUUACCAGAGACGCAAUGUAAGGAAUUGUCCUACUACAGUUCCAGAUAAUGGUGUUGGAGAAUCUACUGAUGUCCCUGAUGCCUCACGAACUAUUCCAAGUUCGUCACCUACCACGAUCUCCUCUCCAGCCAGCCCACCCAUUGCUGUCCGCAAAGGUAUUCGUUCUACUCGCAAUCAAUGUCCCAACUAUACUUGUCUCAAUUAUCAGCGCGUCUUCAUCCUAUUAUGCCUUUUUGUCCUCUUUGUCGUCCAUGUCUGUUCCUAAAACUAUAGGUGAGGCUAUGUCCCACUCUGGGUGGCGUCAGGCAAUGAUAGAUGAAAUGGCUGCUCUUCACUCCAAUUCCACUUGGGAGCUGGUCUCACUCCCACCUGGUAAAUCAACUGUUGGUUGUCGUUGGAUUUAUACUGUUAAAGUUGGUCCGGAUGGUCAAAUUGAUCGUCUUAAAGCUCGUCUAGUAGCUAAGGGUUAUACUCAAAUUUUUGGUCUGGAUUAUACUAACACCUUUUCUCCAGUGGCCAAGAUGUCUUCUGUUCGUCUCAUCUUAUCUCUUUCUGCUGUUCAUCAUUGGCCUUUGCACCAAUUAGACAUCAAGAAUGCAUUCCUUCAUGGUGCAUUGCAGGAGGAAGUUUAUAUGGAUCAACCACCUGGUUUUGUUAUUCAGGGGAAGUCUAGUGGAAUGGUUUGUCGACUAAAACGUGCACUCUAUGGUCUCAAACAAUCUCCUCGGGCCUGGUUUGGACGCUUUCGUGAUGUUGUCCAAAAAUAUGGCAUGAUCCGUAGUGAGGCUGAUCAUUCAGUGUUUUAUCGUCAUUCUCCAUCAAAAGGUAGCAUUUAUCUUGUCGUUUAUGUCGAUGAUAUUAUUAUCACUGGACAGGAUCAUGAUGGAAUUGCUCAGUUAAAGAACCACCUUUUUGGCCAUUUCCAGACGAAAGAUUUGGGCAAGCUUCGUUAUUUCUUGGGUAUCGAAGUUGCCCAAUCCAAAGAAGGUGUUGUUAUUUGCCAACGAAAAUAUGCAUUGGACAUUUUGGAGGAGGUAGGCAUGUCAAAUGCUAAGCCUGUCGAAACUCCAAUGGAUCCCAAUAUUAAAUUAUUUCCAGGACAGGGGGAGCCACUUAAGGAUCCUGGAAAGUAUCGUAGGCUUGUGGGACGGUUGAACUAUCUUACAGUAACACGUCCUGACAUAUCUUUUUCUGUCUCAGUGAUCAGUCAGUUUUUAGAUUCCCCGUGUGAUAUUCAUUGGAAUGCAGCUCUCCGCAUUCUCAAAUAUAUCAAAGGAGCACCUGGCCAAGGAUUGUUGUAUACUGAUAAAGGAAACAUGCAAGUAAUUGGUUACACUGAUGCAGAUUGGGCAGGAUCACCUAUUGAUCGUCGUUCUACCACAGGCUAUUGUAUUCUGGUUGGUGGCAACUUAAUAUCUUGGAAAAGUAAAAAACAAGAUGUGGUUGCUAGAUCCAGUGCUGAGGCUGAGUAUCGAGCCAUGGCUAUGGCUACAUGUGAGCUAAUAUGGCUUAAACAAUUGCUCAAUGAGUUGAAUUUGGGGACUAGUGACCCAAUGAAGUUGAUUUGUGAUAAUCAAGCUGCACUCCACAUUGCCUCCAAUCCAGUUUUUCAUGAGAGGACUAAGCACAUUGAAGUUGAUUGCCAUUUUAUUAGAGAAAAAUUGAUCUCCAAAGUUAUUGAGACGGGUUUCGUUAAUUCAAGUGAUCAACUUGCAGAUUUUCUUACCAAGUCCCUAAGAGGUUCUCGUAUAAAAUAUAUAUGUGGCAAGCUUGGUGCAUAUGAUUUGUAUGCUCCAGCUUGAGGGGGAGUGUUGAAUAUAUCUAGAUAUGUGUGAUAUAUUAUACAUCAAUUAUAGGGAUUAGAUAGCCUGAUUAUUAGCCUGAUUAUCCUAGUUUAAUUAUAGGAAGUAGAUAGCUAAUUAUUCUAGCUUGAUUUUAGGAUCUAGAUUAUUUCAAUCUUGUAUAUAUAUGUCAGUUGUACUACUCACAUAAGAGGGUGAAGGAAUGUCAUCCCAAAAUAUCUUCCUCUCUUGCUUCUUCUCUUUCAGUAUGUUUGUACGUAAAAUAAAGGUUAACCUGCCAAACAUAUUAUUCAUAAACUACAAGCAAAUCUAUUUGUAUUAUAUCAGGAAAACCAUGACUAUUGCAAUCAAACUUCCCAUUUUCCAAAGCAUCUAAAGAAUAAUUUAGAAGUUUCAUCAAUGAUUCUCCUACCUUUUUAUUUAUCACAAUUUAAAUUCCUUUAGAAUAUGAAAACAGAAUAUACAUGAGGGCCAGGACACGAAAUUGAACAUUCAAGUUCUUGAUGAUAAUGUUAUGCUUCAUUUGGAAAGCAACAUGUGAAUAAACUAGCCUUACAUUCUUUAACAAUUACUGUAUGAUGAAACUAGUAAUCAGCUCUAGUAUUAGAAUAUUGAAGUCUUCAAACUAUUUUAAAUGAUUCAGAAAUGAUGGAAUAGGAAAUAUAUUUUUCCUGGGAAAGAGGGAUAUUGGAAAGUAGACGGAUGGAAGAACCAUCAGGUAAAGUAUGAGUAUCUUAAAAACUGGAGACAAAUCUCUAAAAGACCCUUUCCAUUUUGUUUUCUGAAUGACAUGAAUUUUUUUUUGGACUUUGUCAUAUGGGGGCUGACUAUUUUGAAAAUAAGCUCACUUAGGGGGUCUCACAUACAUUCAUCUUUAUGUCAGUUACAAAUUGGAGAACUUCAAGGACAAAAGUCCGCUAAAAAUAGGGCAAAAUAAAAGCAUAUUUGCGGAUUUACCCAUGGAAGGUUUCUUAUUGGUGACACCAACCUCUAUUACUACAUGAAACUGUGCACUGUAUUUAUGCACAAAAUGUCUAAAAGAGUUCCUGCCAAUAAAUCAAUUUGCUGCUUUGGCAUACUUAGGCAGACAAUGAAUCAAAAACUUCUUUUGGAAGUUGGUGAAUACGAUAGAAUGGAUUCAUUUACUGACAAUUAUCUGAAGUACUUUUACCUCAGGAAAAUUGCCCAAUAGUGAUGUCAAUUUCUGAGACAAUAUGAAGUUGUGCACUGCAUCUGUGUAUUCAUUUGCCGACACUAGAGAGACUGUUUCAUUUGUUCUACCCAGAUCCUGUCACCAUAUGUUUCAGCAUGUUGAAGCAGCAGCACCAACAACAACAACAAAGGAGAGAAGGUAAUGUUUGAAAACUGUAAACUAAGUGUAAGGAUGAAAAACUAUGAUGAAAACCUUAGAGGAUAAGGCAGAAUGGUGUUGUUUGCGGAAAUAAUAAUCCAACAAGCACCACAUGGCUCUUCCAUCAACCAGUGAAGAGAAAUUUUCAACCGUCAAAUCAUAGCUAUCACCUAUUGCCUGGAAGAAUAAGAAAAAAAUUUUCAAUUAUUAAAAUAGGCAAGUCCAUAGGUUCAGAAAAUGUUCUCCUACCUAAAUGCAUUUCAAAUUUGACAUGAUAACAGCACAAACACAUACAAAAACCAGACAAGAUCACUUGCUCAUUUUCCGAAAGCAUUGCUGUAAAGUUUGACUCUAGUAAGGUAGAUUUCAACAAAAACAGGUUACACUGAAGAGAUACUGGUGCAAACUUAACACCAACAAAAGGAAAUAACUCAGAUCUGAGCUGGCAAUCUUAGCAUCAGCAGCAUACAAACUCUAAAGUUUAUUGCUGAAAGAACAAUCAGAAUUAGUUUACGCAAUCUCAAAGAGCAGGUAUCAGACACUUAAACAAUAUAGUACUGUAUAGCAAAGCAUGAGGUGCUCUAUAUGAUUUCUUCUGUGAAAUAAAUCAAUGACAAUCACCUGCUCAAAUAAUGUUUAAGCAUCUUGGUAAAAAAUUUCAACAACUCAUUAGAGCUGCAUCCGUUGUCCUAAGGAAAUUACAACAGUUCAUUUAUUUAGAUAGCAACAAUACCUGGAUCCAGUUAAGAAGCAUGUCCAAUGUAGAGCAAGUGUUUGAAUGUUCCUGAAGGCGUAAAAAGUGUCAUUGAUUAAUGCAAUGGAUAAAAAAGCAUAUAGGAAAUUUUAAGUAGAUAUUUAAUACUAUAUAACAAACUUAAUACAAGACUCAAUCCCUAUUUGAUAUUGGACAGUUUCCUCAACACUAAACUACCUUCCAUAAAAAGCUAGUAAAUUAAUUUAUUCUGUGCCUAACAGAGUUGAGAACAAUUAUCCAGAUUGAAGCAUACCGUAACAACUCCUCUUAUUUUGGAUAUCUCCACGGCUAAAAGCUUUUUGUUGAUUAGAAGGGGCAACUGCAGAUUCAGAUACAAAUUAAUGCAAAUAGAAGCUAACAAAGUUAAUCAAAAGUAUACCUAAUCUUAAAGAGAGGCAUUAUUGCUCUAAUGGGAAAGAAACAACGAAACAGAAUUCAUAUAUUAAAGUAGGUUACAGAUAAUACAUAACAUCCGUUUAUCUGGAGAAGAAAAUAUUGUACAGAAAAGUCAACCAAAUGGACAACGCACUGACAAAUUUAAUGGUAGGAGGGCAAGAAAACUGGACGUUCCUUGACCUAGACUAUUUGACCUCAUAUAAAAGGUGAAAAACAGACCUGCAAGUGAACAAACAUGUUCCACAGCAAAGAAAGUACAAGCUCCUUUUCUCUGUUAACAAUAUCUGCAUCGGUAAUCAACAUUCCGUCUUCAUCGCAAAGUGGCACUCCAGCUUGUUUCAAGUAUUGGAGAGCAAUGCCACAGUUGGAUAGACUCUUUUUGUGAGUAUCUGAUGGGACUACUAAUUUCUGUCCAUAGAAAAGAAAAUGUCAAAACGGAUUGUCAAAAUUCUCAAUAGCCAAAAAAAAAAAUAGAGAGUGAAAAAGUAAGAUUAGAAGAAAAAUUAAUAUCAAUCAGUAUUAGUCUAACCAAUAGAAUGGAAGAAUCGUGUUGCAAUAGCUGAAUGGCUCGGCAAAGCCGGAUACCAUCUUGAAGAUCUUCAAAUAAAUCCUUCACUCUAAAGCUAUACUCAAUCAAAGAACUCUGCAUCACGAAAAACAUUGUUUCAGCAAAAUGCUUAGAUAAUGUGCACUGAAUAUGUUUAGUUGCUUUUAAAUUGAGCUAAUCUAAGUACUGAGUUAAUGCAACCUAAAUACUGAGUUAAUGCAAAGUUCAAGCUGCUUACCUGUUGGUAAGUCACUUUAUACCCUACAAUCAUUAGAUGUGCAAGAAGAUUACCUUCUCCAUGCAUCACAUCCGUUGAUAAAAAAUCUAAGUUUGUCCAAGAGAAAUCAAAGUCAAUCCAAAUGUGAGUUUAAAGAACCCCAAGGAACUUUGGUGGGGUUUUUUUGGUUGGUGGGGGGGGGGGGGGGGGGAGGGACAAGGGAGAUUACCAGUAAUCAGAUGACGGCUUGACUUAAUAUUGGAUUUCAAUGAGAACAAUAGGGGAGAACCCCCAUCCAAUCCAUCUAUGCCAUAUUUAGUGGGUAGGCUGCUAUGAGAUUUGGCUCUGUCAAGUACGAGCACAAGCAACAAAAAUCGCUUCAAAAUAACAUUUCCGAGCUUCUCAAAGUAACCCGGCCUAUAUAGGCCAUCAACCAUUUUGUUAUAAGCAAAGGUCUUAGCAAGCUCAGCAUGUGACAGGAACUGCUUCUCAAUUACCAUCCUCAAGAACGCCAUUUCUUCCUCAGAAUUAACCUCUGCAUUUGGCAAAAGCGAGUCACCUCCUAAAAUAAUGUGUAGUCCUAUUCGCAACCAUACUGGGUUGUAACUCAUAAGGAUUCCCAUGGAUCUCUCUUUCAUCCCAAAAUCUGUCACUAUCGGGCAGUUGGCCCUUAUCUUCAAUCGCCCCUCAUCAAUAUUCUGAAAGAUAAUGAGCAAUAAAGCAAAAAGGUAAAGAAGUUUAACAUCACUGAGUAAAAAGGCAGCAGCUUUAAAUAGCCUAACCCCAUAACUUAAAACUCUAAUAUUCAAAAGCUUGCUGUCCCGUAAGAAGAAGUAUUCAUGAUUCAUUAAGCAACGUUGUAGGAAAACUCGAAAUUGAAAAGUAAGCAAAUUUAGAAGGAGAAUGACACGUAUGAUUGCAACUGAAUAGAUAAAAAACCAAACAAACAUAGACAUCAGCAAAACUUAACCUACACAAUUAGAAUGCAAAAUGCUCGCACCGACUUCAGAAAUUACUAAAUUCAGAACACUCCACAAGCAUUGCUUUCUUAAACACUGGUUAAAAAAAUGAUGCCAUUAGUUACUGAAAUGAAACUUACAAGAUAUAAAACAAUUAUACAUUAGCUUCUCUAGAAACAUUAACAACUUUGCCAGCCAAGGAAAAAAAAUCAAUAAUUCCAAAAAGAAAUGCAAAAUAAGUGCAAGUUUAGACCUUUGCUACUUGAGUCAUCAUAUCAAAUAUCUCAUUACAGCUUUCCAAGCUCAAGUAAGCCCUCAUUCUCUCCUUUAAGUCAUUAAAACUGCAAACCUCCCUCAACGAACCCUGCAGUGCCGAAAACGUCAAAUCUGGACACCCAGAGACCCUCUCUCCAUUCCCCGAACCUUCUCUCCACGUUAGAUCCUUUUGCCUCUUCGGCCCACGCCAAGGCCCGUCAAUGCCAACCUUAACCCCAUUGCCCGGCCCGGUCUCUCUUUUCCCCUUGGUCAAACCCUCCUUCUUCUCUGCCACCCCAGAAUCCCCACCAAUGGGGUCAAAUUCUCCAGUAAACGUCGACACGUCGCAUCCACAAGAUUUUGGGUUCUCAAAGAGAAAGUUCAACCAAACCGAAAGCGAUUUUGCCAGUGAUUUCAAAGACUUCUCUUUACUAAUCUCAUUUCUCCUGGCUGACUUGGAUUGCUCGAGUUCAAAAGCUUUCAAUCUACGGGCAACCUUUAACUUGGCCGUGGUAACCGAUGUCUUCCUCCGAGACGAAGAGGAAACAGGGGUAGCAGCUUUCUGGACCGUGAAAAAUUUAGGAUUGGAUUCAGGAUACGGAGAAAAAGGGAAAUUAGGAGUUUUUGAGACAUUUUUAGGGGUCCUGUAAUUUGAAAUGUCUUUGAGGAGUGAAGAAGAAGAGGAUGGUAAAGGCGAAGGGCAUGAAGUCGAUUGUUGUUUAUGAUUUCUAGAUUCCAUUUUCUUUUUUUAAUCUAAUUUUUGGGUAGAUUUCUGCGUGGUUGUGUUGAGUCUGUAAUGGGUUUUCAGAAAUUUCUGAGAAAUUUACGAAGUAUGGAAGAAUGAGAAGCAAGAAUCUAUGGAUGGAUAGGUAGAAGGCGAAGAAGAUGAAUAGCAUUUGCAGGAGGAGGGUUUUUUGACCGUUUCGGUUUUUGAAUUUGAAUCUGAAGAAUGGCGCUUCUUCUUUUGACGGGACCGCUGUAAUUAGUAAAAGGGUGCGGAGUGAUCACCUCGCUUUUCUACUUUUCGCGAGUUGUGGCCCGUUUGGGCUUAUGGCCCGAGCCUCUUUUUUUUUUUUUUUUUGUUACCGCUCAUCUUUUGGCCAAUUACGAAACAAACAGUACUUGAAAGCUUUUAAAUGAGAGAUAAGUUGCUUAUGCAAACCAGCUUCAGCAUUAGAUAUGGUGGACAAAAUGCUCUUUCUCAGUCGCUUUAAUCUCUUCCCAAUUCUAAUCUUCAACUUGCUGGUUUUAACCUUCAACCAUGAUGGCCUUCUUCUUGGCGAAUCUGCUCUUUGAAGAGCCUUGUAAAUCAAGAAUUGAGCUCUUCUACGCCUUACUUCUUCAGGAUCUUCCAUCUCCAACUUAGAGUAAGAAAACCUUCUGCUCAGAAGACUCAUUCCUAGGUUUUGGGGGACGAAAAGCCCAAAAAAAAAAAAAACCCAAAAAUUAAACUUGAGAGUGGAACAAAUAUUAGAGGAAGAAGAUCUAAUUAAGUUGGCAGUGAACUAAUGCUGAUGCUACAUUUAUAGUAAGGUCUUUGGAGAGGUCAUGUGGUGGUGAAACAAUUCAUGUGCACCACUGUGCGUAUAAUUAUUACAUGAUUGGGUUUUAAAAUGACAAUUAUCAACUGGCUAGGAAAACCUGGAGAAAAAAUUUAACAAGGUUGUUUAACCUUAUCUGUUAUAUAUAGUUGACCUUUAGGUUGUGGUUGGUGGACAAAGCGGAUAAUCUUCUAAAAACAAUACUGUAAAUUACACGUAACUCAUGAAGUUUGUAGCAUGUGUGAGACUAAAUAUGAGAAGAGAAGGUUAACAGACGAAAUAUAAGAUGGGGUUUCCGCUAAUGGUAAAAACUAAAAACACAAGAUUAUAGCUAGCGUACUCCAUCAAUGUCCUAAACCACACGGACCAACUGAGCAUAGGUAUACAAGAACUCUUUGUUGAGCCUUUACUCCAAAGAUGUUUAAUCCUUUGAUCGCAAGAAAGCUCCCCACCGCCCGACUUACAACUGAUAGUUACUGAUAUCUUUCUGCAGAUGAAGUGUAUCAUCUAUCUUAGUUAGUUACCAUUCAUAAUCUCUUAAGCAACCGACCUCUUUAGGAUUCCUGUUAAUUUAUUAAAAACCUUGUUCAUUAUGAACAAAACAAUGUUAAUUGACGAUGGAGAAAAGAGGCCAUUUCCACAUAAUAAGGAAAUGAUGGUUUAUAUGAUAAAACUAAGUCCUCCAGCCAUCCAAAAUCAAUCAUCAAGCAAAUGUGUCCUGAUUGUGGCUGCUCCUCAAACUAGUAUGAAUUCGGGUUUCUACCUUUUUCAAUCAUAUCUGUUCAAAUUCAAAUUCAUGAAUUGCAUGGUGCACUUCAUCUAGCAAUCGUAGGAAACCUCAAUCCAAAUGGUGUUGCUUGACUGCUUCCUUGCCAGGGGUACGCUUCUAAAAUUCAUGCUAAGAAUUUGAGGGUUCGGCAUAAUCUUUACUUUCCCGUUAAGAGAUUAUCGAAUAAUUAAUGCCAAACAUUUUUUUUUUUUUGAACAAAAGGUUCAUAAUAUGAUUCUUGAGACGUCUAACAUGACCUACAAACGAAUAAUGCCAAACAUAUAAACCUCACGCCAAUCUUACUUCUGGACAGCGACUUCCUAUUAUGGGAUUUUCUCUAAGAAAAAUGAGAAGGAUGAGCUUGUGAUCACUUGCGUGUACAGGCCCAAAAGUCAAAGGGAUGCUCGGCCAGACCACAUUCACAUUCAUAUAUAUAUAUAUAUAUAUAUAUAUAUAUAUUAAAAACUCCACCGGCAUGAAGGAUGAUGGUCAGCGGUGCAAAAAUAAAUAAAAUUUGAAAAUUGACACGAUUGAGGAAAAAUGGAAUAAAACAAGGACAAGCCUGCAAAUGUCAUCCUCCAGCUCCAGGCACUCUCAAGUCUCAAGGCAAUUGGCUAAUUUAUUGCAUGAGGUUGGCAGGUACAAUGAUUAACCAUCUUCCUUUCAAGUUACACAAGCUAACUAUUUGACUUUGAUCGUAGUCUGUAAUCCUCAUGUAAUUUUGUAUCCUCAAAAAUUAUAAGUGACUGAAGAAAACGUUUCCUUAUGGAAACCGUUUGUAUCUCUUAGUCCAAUGUUAAACAAAUCAAAUCACAAAGACUAUAAGACUAACUCCCGCCCGUGCAUGGGCACAUCACAAGAAAGUCUUACACAAUACAUCAAUUAAGGACGAAAUUUCAAGAGACUCCAAGUCAUCCCCAGUUGAAAUAGGACUCAUGAUUGAUUACUCUAAUCUGCUAUAUAUGUCUGGUAGUAUCUGCUAUAAUGUUACUAGUUAAAUAGCUAGUAGUGCCUCGGUACAUCUAAUUAAUGCGGGCAAGAAUAUGCGUAGAAACCUUCCCAAGUCGUUAUGUCCUAAGAUAGAGUGAUAUUUGAAUUCGGGUGUCAACUCUGCUGUCCAUUUUUAAGCAAGUACCGAGGAGGAAGUUUUAGCUAGAGAAACAAUGCAUCAUAUGUUUUUAUCUACAAAGCUACGAGCUUAAUUAAGAACCUGCUUUAAAAUUCUUCUACUAUUUCAAAUGUGCCUGAUUAAGUUUGCUCGCUCCAAGAAUCACGUACCAAAGAAAAGAAAAAAAAAAAAAAAAGUUUACUCCAAGAACCUGUCAAAUGAAUAACACUUUCGUCCCCUCACCCAUUUCCGAAAGUUGUAGAUGAUCAACCCUAAAAACAAUUGAAGGGCUCAAUGGAAUCCCACAUUUACAAAUAUCUAUCUAUAAGUGACCACAUUUUAAUGGUUUAAAGUUUUUAUGUUAGAACCCUCCCUCUGAUCUGUCUCUACACCGUUGAGUGAGUGAGCCGUUUGGGCAGCUCAUCAACUCUUGGCUCUUUGGGAUCUGGAGGCAGAGAUAUAAAAGGAUUUAAGGGCAUGGCUAGUAGGCUAAUUUCCUUUAACUUAGGACCCUGCACUGAAAUGAGGAACCUGUCUAGAUGCAGUGAAGAUCCAUUUCUUUUCUUUCCCAUCUCAAAAAUGAGGAACCUGUUUCGACGUGAUAUCAAGUGCCUUCCUGUCUUGAUUUAUGUGCUUGGCUUAGAAUAUACUAGUAAUAUGAAAGAGGACCGUUCGCAUCUCACUUAGUGGUACUGGUGAAAUGACCAAUAAUUGUUCAUCACAAAUGAUUUGAAGGCACAGAUUACAGGCUGUCAAAGUCACUUAGUGCCUGUUUGAUAACAUAAAAAAGUGCUGAAACUGAAUUCAUUCAGACAUUCAGAUGUUAUGGGUGUUUGAUAAAUAAAAAUUCACCUGCUGAACUUAUUAAGUGGUGCUGAAUUUGUAUGUAUUUUUUUCAGUACAAGAAUCGUAGCUGAAUGCUUAAUUUGAUAAGAAUCAAGAGAUUUACUUCAACUACUUUAUCUUAUUUACCAAAUAUAUCCCUGUUUGUUAAUUAUAUUCAAAAUCCUUAUCUAAUUAAACAACCUAAUAUUCCCUAUUCAAAAUCCUUAUCUAAUUAAACAAAACAACCUGAUAUUCUCUAUUCAUACCCUUUUCUCACACAAAGAAACAUUGUCAUUGAAUGCAUUGCUCUUCACAAUCAUUGUCAUUUUCAUACCUAACAAUUUUAAGUUAAUUAAAUUAUAGGUUCUAUUUCCUUUUUGAAUUAAAAGAUAGAAGGGCAAAAUUGUACAAUUUAGCUUAUUAAGCAUUAAGUUAUGAAUAUUUAUCAAACAGUAUAAAUAGAUUCAGCAUUAAGAUUCAGACAUUCAUAUAUCUCUUUUCAGUGCUUAAAAUUCAGCAAAUUAAUUAUUUCAGUAUUCAGAAUUCAGAAUUCAGAUUCAAUGUUAUCAAACGGAGCCUUAGUACUGAAACUUGAGGAUUAAGCAGUUACAGGCCAUGUUGAAGAUGUGCCAACGAUAUAUAUAUAUAUUUUUUUUUUUUUUUGAGAGAAAAAGUCUGAUUAUAAAAGUUCUAAUUACGCCUAUUUAUAAGACAUGAAAGUCCUAUCCUAAAAGGGAACCGAAAUAUGCUUCUUAACCCUAAACGAACAAAGUUAUGUAUUUGACUGGGAUUAUGUCUAGCGCCGGACAUAAGAGACCUGACAUUAUUAUUGUUUGUCCAUUAUUCCUAAAUAUCAAAUACAUUCCAUGCCAGUAAUACUAAUAAAACUCUAAGAAAUCUAAUAAAAAUACUACUAAAACUAUUACGAGUACCCAAUUUUAACAAUACAAAACGAUGGACUGAAGAACCAGCAGGGAUUCCUUGCCCUGUAUCGAUGUGGUUCUUGUAUGGUUUUACUGAAAAAGACUGCAAUUUGUAAUGGAUAUGUACUAGCAUUUUUGCAGACCAAGAAUAUGUACUUGUAUUCUCUUUUCAAAACUGUCUGAAGUGGGUCAUCUUCGGCAGUAGAGAGAGGUUCUUCACACAAUUGGAUGGUGAUCUCCUCUCCGUGUAUGUAUGAAAACGGGACCCUUUUGGAUUUUCAGUAAUGGGUUGCUGUGAAAAGCUUGAAAUUCCAUUAGCACGAGGUGAAGCCAUCAUACAGCUUUGUAUCUGAUGCUAAAGUGCAGAUGACGGUCCUGUACUUCAGGAAGAUAGAAACCUCGUAUUAAGAACAUGAAAAAUUGGAAAAUUUCUGUGUCCGGACUCUCUGUCUAUGGUACUGGAAGCAAUUUUGUCUGCUAUAUCCUUUCCCCGAGUAGCAAGUCCAAUUGGACAUGAGACCAUAGAGGCUGUUCAAUAGAUGCUUAUCGAAGCAUGUUGCAUGCAUCCUUCCAAAAAAAAAAAACAAUAACAAUCCCACAUUGUUUUUCUGUUUCCUUUUUCUUUAAAAGAUAUUUUUGUCAAAUAUUUGCUUCCAUACCGGGGAUCCUCCUCGUACAUUAACAGACAAUUGUCACAGUAUAACAUAAUGUAUUCCCACUUUUUUCAAAGCAAACUUUCAAUCUUUUACUUCAUCACUCCGCGAUUAUCAACUUUUGUUUGAAAUCGUGACCUUCAUAUUCUUGGUUGAGGGAGUACAAGAAAAGCCUUGGUAUAAGUCAAAUGGAACAGAGAUUUUCACUCGAAAGGGCUCGAUCGAGACUUUGCUUGAACAAGACUCGACCUACUUUGGUUUUAUCCAGGUUUGAUAUAUAGUAGUAUUUGCCAGUUCAGGGUUCACCGGGGUAAUCAAUUUCAGAACAGGACAGCAAAAUCUAUACGGCAAUCAAGAGCACAUAACUCAAACCAGGCACGGGUCGAAAAUAGAGUUAAAAGUUGAACAAUAAACCAAUCCAAACGUAUAAACACAUGCAUGCAGCUUGCACUACAGAGAGCCAAAUUGUUAGACCAAUUUAUAAACCGGAAAUGGGGAAAAAAAAAUGGAGUACACAGCCAAAGGAUGCCUCUGGCAGAACACGACUCAUAUUUAGCCCAGUCUAUGAUAUCCAGCUACACUACACUGCAUAACUCCCACAACUGCGCAGCCUCUCUUGUCAAGAAAUGGUCCAAAUUACCAAGAAGAUUUCCAUCACCAUCUCUUACCAGCAAAUCACUGCAAAAUAUUUGGCACCGGUCAUUUCCUACACCAGAUCAAACCAAGAGCCCCCAAAAAAGAAAACGAAAAAAGAAGAAGCGAGAAACGUAUCCCUAAGGCAACUACCACCCGUCUCGGGGCAGGGAGGGAUAAAGGUCCCGGGUAAACAGAUGCUUCCUUUAUGAAAAUAGUUGUAGUUUUCUGAUGUAAAUAAGGGUAAAAGAAAAAGUUCUGAUUCAUAGUUCUCAUUCUAUCUUUUUGAAAAAUUAGCAGAAAGAAAACCUGAGGUUGCUGCAUCAUCUGCGGCUGCUGUUGUGUCUGUGGCGGGUAAUUCCCAUACCCAGGGUACCCUCCGUAGUACAUGUUUGGGUCCUGGGCUGCUGGAGCAUACCCAUAGGUUUCAUAUCCAGAAGCAUAGCCGUAGUAGCCACUAUUCCAUUGGCUUGCAUCCACUUGAGGCUGAAUAGUUAAACAGAAUAUACAUGUUGUAUUUCAGCAUCACAGAACAUUGGAAUAAAACAUGGUAAAAGCAGCUCAUUAAACAUGAAGAACCUGUUUGUUUGAAGGACUACGGCCCCAUGAAAGUCGAAUGUUUUGGCCACCCAGUUGGGUUCCAUUCAACAAACGCAGAGCUUCCUCAGCACAGCUUCUGUUGCAAUGAAUGCAAAGAACAUUUAGAACAUUGUUUACCGCAUCUCUUCUCCAUUGGAAAUAUUUCAAAUCAUUUACCUAUCAGCGAAUUGAACAAAACCACAUCUCUUUCCUACUGGUAUCUUCACAUGAAGUAACUGCCCAUAGUUCCCAAAAACCUGCCUCAGAUGUUCGUCUGUGACGUUGGAGUCCAAGUUCCCAACAAACAACUGCAAUUAUAAUUACUCAAUGGUGAGCAAAUACUUCUCAGAAAAGCAGAUAUAUCAUAUCACACAAUAUACUAACUGUUGUAUUAGAUGGAUCAUCCUCAUUCGGAGUUCCUUGAGUACCCUGAUAUGAAGCUGCAAAAUUAAAAGCAAAUAUGAGGGUAACAGGGAAAAUAACAAAUUCACUUGCCGCCCAGAAUAUACACGAUGACCUGUUUACAACAUCAAACUAGACAAAAAAAAUUGGCAAACAACAAACUGACAAGUAGAAGACCUCUGACAAACAAGCUCCAAGAUAAUCAUAUCAGAAGAAUGAAGAACACAGAUUUGCACAUCAAAUGACCAGACAUCUAGGACACUCAUUAAUGGGCAAUAUAAAAAGUACGUGAGAUGAAAAUGAAAUUGCAAAUAUUAUUUGCUCCAGUGCAAUGAUAGUAAUGUAACACGAAGAUUAAAGAAAGGGCAAAUAGAAAACGGAAAAGAAUAAUCCAGCUAAGAUCUUUUUGGUUUUCUUUUCUAGAAUGGAAAAAUAGACUGCAUAAAACUUCCACGUCCAGUGUAAAAUAACAUCAUGAUGAAUAGGUUCUUCCGCCAACAAGUCCAAAUAUGCAAAACCAAAUUGAUUCUUAAGAGCUACAUAGAUCAACAGCAGUGAGGAAGUCUAACUUAUAAACAAUAACAAAGAAGAGGUUACAUACACACAGAAACACUCAACAUUUAACUAAAUUAUCUUCCAUUCAGACUUGAUAAUAAGACACAAUUUCAGGAUAGUUCACUUUUCCCCCAUUGCAAAGAGAAGUUCAUAUGGAAGCAAAGCUUAUUGCAAGAAAGGGAAAGGUCAAGUGGAUAAAAGCAAAUUGAACAUAAAUGGAUUGACCGAACCACUCCAUCCAUCUACUCCUCAAAAAGCUAUUAACAAGAACAAGACCACGUCAAAAACUGAAAGCAUACCGACUAGGCAAAGUUUCAAGACCUGACCCAGAGAUUUCUGUGAUAGCUCAAUGAAGCGCUCUGAUGGUGACACAGGUAAAUAAAACUAAUGGAUGGGUAAUAGGAGUAAACUAAACAAAACCAAAUUGAACUGCAGUAAGGAAUUUGUAGAGGGAGAUUAAUACUUGGCUUUCAUAAAUAAGAAAAUGACAGUACUAAAAUAUGAAAAGUGGCUGGAAAUUAAAGGAAAGUAACUUGGCUGAAUGGUAAGUAAGCAAACUGAAUUGAAGAAGAGAAAAUCGAAAAAUUGUAGUAAAGUAACUCCAAGAGGAACCGAAAUAAAGACAAAAUUAACGACAUCAAUAUAAAACUGACCUACGCCAGACCACGCACUAAAAGGGUUAUCAUUCGGCUGAAAUUAGCUCCAGGCCCCUAAAUGAUAGAGCCUCCUGACACCCUGCUUUGAGACAACCGGAGUUUUAUAAGAUUUUGCAAGUUCCAAUUUUACAUCCGAAUAUGUUUAAAGUACGCGAAGGAAAUGAGGUUUUAAACUGGCGAUUAUCUUCAAGAAUUCAAGCGCUAAGUGAAAGAAAGGAAUCUCAACAGCAGACUUAAUCAAGUGAGAUCAAAAGAAAGCAACAUCUCCAAGUAACUAAAAUCCAGCCCCAGUCAACAAAAAACUCAAUAAGCAAAGCCAAUCAUACAGAAUGAGACCUGCAAAAUUCCUCCAAGUAUAAAGCAGUAUCAAACCAUAAAUCUCAAAUCAACAUCCAUUCACUAAUUGUUCUGGCAAUAAUGUAGCCAUCAGAAUUACACGAUGAAAGUUAAACAUACCUUUUGUCUGGCCACCCAUAGUUUUCUUGUUAGCAGCUGGACCAAUUCUCAUGGGCCUUGUUGAACAAAACUUUCCAUUCAUCUCAGUCAUAGCAUGCAAUUGUUCACUUUCAUCUCCAAACCUUACAAAUCCAUAACCCUUUGUACGCCCAGUAAUCCUAUCAGUUACAACUUUUGCACCCUUGACUGAACUAUAGUGGGCCCUGAAUGUCUCUUGAAGCAUAUAAUCAGUAACGUCAGCUGCCAAGUCCCCAACGAAAAUUGUGUAAUCAGGAGAAUCAUCUGAACGCUUUUCGCCAGCACCCAUAGAUGCCCAGUUCAAUCUAAAGUGUUGCUCGACAUUUGGCAUCAAGGUUCCAUUAUAUGCCUGUAGGUUCCGCUCCGCACCAGCAUGACUCACAAACUCAAUGAAUCCGUAACCCUCUGACUGACCCGUUUGCUUGUUGCGAAUAACUUUAGCUGACAAAACCUGAGUAUCAAACAGCAAUUAUUAAAGGCACAUUCCCACGAAAGGAAAUAAACAUGGCAGGAAUAGCAGCUAGAUGCAAGAAUCAAAAACAAAGAACAAAUCCAACACUGUAGCAAAGCUUCUAAGUUUUUCAAAAGUAUCUGUAACUCAGCGAGAAUGUCACUUUUCACUAGCAAAACAAGACCGAGUAGAUAAUAUGCAUCAAAAGAAGCACUUCAAACAAUGGUCCUCAGCAAAAACGCACAAGGAAAAAACAAAAGCACCAACUUUUCAUGCAAAAAGUAGAUUAAUUCAAAAAAAUAAUAAAUAUUUUCAUUUUUCAGCUUGAAACCUUAAAAAAAACGACAUCAUCAAUUCCACAUUGCACCUAAGCUUCGUAAAUCAUAUUCACAUUAUACAACCCUACCAACAACGAAAAUUCCACCCAAGAUCAUUAUUCACAAAAAAAAAAACUCCUAUCUCCAUGGCACGUCACCGCAUGAAAAGGAAACCCAAUUCCCUUUACAAGCUAACCACAUUAUGUAACAUGUAUAAACACAUCCAGAAUCAUCCUUACAACUCAGACUGAAGGCCCUCCUUGUUAACCCCCUUCAAACAUAUAAAUAAACAAACUAAAGUACAAAUAUAUUCUGGAUGCCCAAUUUUAAAGAUAACCAUUUGCUUUUCAAGUGAAAAUUUCAGAUACACCCAUAGAUAGCUCAAUCCAAAAUAUACCCUUUCCAUUUAUAGCCAAAAACAAAUCUUCUAAAUUUCCCUAUGAAACCCUAUUCAUUAAUGGCGAUGAAAGAAGAUAUAAGAAAGUAAAUCAUAAAUUUUAUGUCAAAAGAAAAAAAAAAGAAAACUUUAUAUACACACACCUCGCCGGUUUGGGAGAAGCAACUGAGAAGGUACUGCUCGUCCAUCCAAUACUGCAGAUCUCCGAUCCAGAGGCUGCGGAUCCCGUCGGAAGCAUUGGGAUCGGCACCAACCGCGGCAACAGAGGCGGCAUACUGCUGCGGUGGCUGCUGCUGCUGAGGCGGAGGCUGCUGAUAAUAAUAAGCAGGCAGCUGCUGCUGCUGUGGCGGCGGGACCUGAUACUGCGGCUGCGGAGGUUGCUGCUGCGGGGCCAUCCACUGCUGCGGAGGUGGUGGUUGUUGUUGGUAUUGUUGCUGUUGCUGUGGUGGCGGAACCAUAGUGGUGGCCGGUUGCAUCAUGGUUAAUUUCUAGGAAAGGAAGAAAAAAGC